rnacentral:rRNA from 1 species
GACGAACGCUGGCGGCGUGCCUAACACAUGCAAGUCGAACGAAGCACUGUGGAUAGAGACUUCGGUCAAUUGAAGCUUUGACUUAGUGGCGGACGGGUGAGUAACGCGUGAGGAACCUGCCUUUCAGUGGGGGACAACAGUUGGAAACGACUGCUAAUACCGCAUAAUGUGUUUUGGGGGCAUCCCCGGGAACACCAAAGAUUUAUUGCUGAAAGAUGGCCUCGCGUCUGAUUAGAUAGUUGGUGGGUAACGGCCUACCAAGUCGACGAUCAGUAGCCGGACUGAGAGGUUGAACGGCCACAUUGGGACUGAGAUACGGCCCAGACUCCUACGGGAGGCAGCAGUGGGGAAUAUUGGGCAAUGGGGAAACCCUGACCCAGCAACGCCGCGUGAAGGAAGAAGGCUUUCGGGUGUAAAGCUCUAUCAGCAGGG